GCUUUUCUGCUCUGGGCACACACUCGCCUUCUUUGCCCCCUCUGCAGGAAAUUACAUUGCGGGCAGAGGCCUCAUGCAGAGAAAAGAUGUCUCUUUAUUCAAUGGAAGCAAUUUCUGUCUUGUGUGUUGCUUCAACUGUCACAACAUUCUCAACCAUGAGCUUCGCUCUCUUGAUUAAUAUUUAUAGCCUCCUCAUUGAGCACCUGUAAUGUCCGUGGCCAUGGAGGUGAGUGCUGUACAUGGCAGACAGAUGAGUGGGUACAGCCUGUUCACUCAUAGAGGCCAGAGUUAUGCAGUGGUUCAGAUGUAAAAAUAAAACAAAUCCUACUCUGUUGUAGACCAGGGGAACAUUGCCAUUCUGCAUCAAGUCAGUGCUCAGUGAGCUGAUGUACUUCACUGGAAUCUGAGCACAAGACUCUGGCUCAGGAUCCACUUGCUACUGUACUGUCUUGGGAUUUUUGACACCCCCUUGAGAUUGAGAUUUCAUAUAUCCUUCCAGUAGUACAGACACUGAGGGUGGUUGUCUGGACUAGUCAAAAAAAGGACAAAUGACAGAAUGUGCAGCUGCCUUCAAGACAUUUUUGCGUUCCUAUAGGGUUUCAUGCUGGGAUAUUUGCUCCCCUUGGAAAACGGAGAAUUCUAAGAGCAGCUUCCAGGAUAGGAUCUUGAAUGUUACAGACAGUUGGUGGCAUAUAACAAAAGAUCCAUCCAAAACCAACAACCAAAUGAAGUCACACCAUAUGUACACAAGCCACCUGCUGCACAGGAACACACAUCCAUGUGCUCUGAGGGCAAAGGUCACAUGAACUGAUGGGCAAAGGUCAUAUGAACUGAUGGACAAAGGUCAUAUGAACUGUUGGGCAAAGGAAGGAACAUGGAGGUACAGUAUGUUAUUGCAACAAAAGAAAGAAACCUAACAUAACAACAAGUAAACAUUGACAGAAAUUCCCAAUCUGUCUCAGCCUGGCCUACAGCAGAGUUACAACCAGAGAAAACUGGGAAAUAAGUAUGUGAAGCUGCACUCAGGUGGAUAAAGCUCCCAGCCCCAUUUACCAGAACUGGGAGACCAUCUUCCCCCCACUGCCACUGUCAAGACUCUUGGACUGGGCCAUCUUCACUUGCAGCAUCACAUUCUAUAGUGAGAUUAAAAAGAAUGACAGAUACGUUUUCAUAAUUCUCAUAAUUGUAUGUUGCCUGGGCAUCACAUUCUGAAU